GACAAAGUUACAUUGUAAGAGAGGACUGCAUCUAAAGGAAGUAUCAUGCUUACAAUUGCACGAGCAGCUUGAUUUGCAGUCCUCCUAAUAAGGGAAAAAGUGAUCUCCUCAAAAACUUUAGCAAUCUCUAGGAUGUCAAGAAUGAUUCCCUGAAUAGAGAGAGGAGGCUGCUGGUGUCCUUUGAGAGUUUCAAUAACUGUUAAUGAAUCGCCUUCUAUCACAAUCUUGGUGAGGCCCUUAACCUUAGCAAAUUUGAUUGCUUCCGUGCAAUCAUACUCUCCAGGACUAAGGGUUCCUGUAUGGCCGUCCAUAGCCUGCAACGCCAAUCCAUUAUAUGCCUAAGAAGAUUACGAUUACGUCCGAUAAAAGCCCCUGCUCCCCUUUUA
rnacentral:misc_RNA from 1 species